rnacentral:rRNA from 1 species
GACGGAGGGGGCUAGCGUUGUUCGGAAUUACUGGGCGUAAAGCGUGCGUAGGCGGUCCAUUAAGUUGGGUGUGAAAGCCCGGAGCUUAACUCCGGAAAUGCGCCCAAGACUGGAGGACUGGAGUCCGGGAGAGGUGGGUGGAACUCCCAGUGUAGAGGUGAAAUUCGUAGAUAUUGGGAAGAACACCGGUGGCGAAGGCGGCCCACUGGACCGGUACUGACGCUGAGGCACGAAAGCGUGGGGAGCAAACAGG